rnacentral:lncRNA from 1 species
UAGGAUUACAGGCAUGAGUCACUGCUUCCAGCACCAUAAUAUAUUUUUUUAAAUCUUCCAAAAUGAAAAUACAAGAAAAAAAUGGUCCGAUGAUUUUAACAGGCACUUCAACAAAGAAGAUAUAUGGAUGACAACUGAGUACGUGAAAAGAUGCUGAACAUAAUUCAUCAUAAGUAAGAUGUAAGUUAAAACCACAAUGAUUUAUUAGUACAUACUUAUUAGGAUGGUUAAAAUAAAAGAGACUGGUUAUAUCAAAAUGGUCAGGGUAUAAAACGGAAACUCUCAUACAUGUUGGUAAGAAAGUGAACUAAUACAACCGCUUUGGAAAACAGUUUUUUAGUUUUGAAAUAUGCUAAACAUAUGCUUACUAUAUAAUCUAGCUAUUGUAUCUCUCAAAAAAUGAAAGCACAUGUCCAUGCAAAGCCUUUUUUUCCCCCCUCACCCAGGCUGGAAUGUAAUGGCGCUAUCUCUGCUUACUACAACCUCUGCCUCCCAGGUUCAAGUGAUUCUCCUGCCUCAGCCUCCUAGUAACUGGGAUUACAAGUUCCUGACACCAUGACCACUAAGUGUUUUUGUUUGUUUGUUUGUUUGUUUGUUUGUUUGUUUGUUUGUUUGUUUGUUUGUUUUUGAGACGGAAUUUCACUCUUAUUACCCAGGCUGGAGUGCGAUGGCGCGAUCUCGGCUCACCGUAACAUCCGCCUUCUGGGUUCAGGCAAUUCUCCUGCCUCAGCCUCCUGAGUAGCUGGGAUUACAGGCACGCGCCACCAUGCCCAGCUAAUUUUUUGUAUUUUUAGUAGAGACUGGGUUUCACCAUGUUGACCAGAUGGUCUCGAUCUCUUGACCUCGUGAUCCACCCGCCUCAGCCUCCCAAAGUGCUGGGAUUGCAGGCAUGAACUACUGCGCCCAGCUGCAAAGCUUUUAUCAUGAAGAAAUGGAGCCAAUUGUCAAGGUUGACCUUGGUAUCAAUAAAAGGGCAAGUAUUUCAAAAGUAACAAGUAUAACCUCUCUCUCUUUCUCUUCCCAUGAUACUGCAAAAAAUAGAAUUUGGAAGGUAUUUAUGGAAGAGGAAAGUAGAGAAUGAGAAAUGGGAAACAGCAAGUGGUAACUAUGAAGCUUAAUUCUCAGUAUUUAAAAAUAACUUUUCUACUUUUAGAGACACAUACUAAAUGAUUGAACUCUUUUUCUGUUAUAGUCAUUAACUAAUGGUACAGAGUAUUUACUACCUUACUGGUACUAGACUUAGCUCUGUACGAAACAAUAAUAAGUAAGAUAAGCUCACUAUCUUCCCUCAGAACAUUAGCAUUACAAAUAUAUAUAUAUAUAUAUAUAUAUAUAUAAUGUGUGUGUAUAUAUGAAAUGUAUAUAUAUACCUAUAUAUUAAAUGUAUAUAUAUAUACUUAUGUCCUCCUCACAUAUAAGUGUAUAACUUUUACAUAAUAUAUAUUUUAUACACAUAUAUGCUUAUAUAUCCUUUUUUUAUUCAGGUUUAUGUUAGGACACAUAUGGAAAACUUAUGCCAUGUGAGAUACAUCUAUUGGCACUCCAGACCACCUACAGAACUACAGAUGGGAGUCUCAUGAGCUUUAUACUUCACAUAGUGCAUCAAAAUUUCAUCAACAAAUAUUCGAAUGUUUAUUCUGCCCAAGUCUCUAUCUGUCUUUACUUAGAAGAACACAAAAAUGUUAUAUGACCCUGCCAUCCAAAAAUUUGUUAAUAAAAUUUAAACAUAGUUUAAAAACUUAAAGGCGAACAUUGCCAACUGUCGAU